CAGCAGCCGCGGUAAUACAGAGGGUGCGAGCGUUAAUCGGAUUUACUGGGCGUAAAGCGUGCGUAGGCGGCUAAUUGAGUCGGAUGUGAAAUCCCCGAGCUUAACUUGGGAAUUGCAUUCGAUACUGGUUAGCUAGAGUGUGGGAGAGGAUGGUAGAAUUCCAGGUGUAGCGGUGAAAUGCGUAGAGAUCUGGAGGAAUACCGAUGGCGAAGGCAGCUAUCUGGCCUAACACUGACGCUGAGGUACGAAAGCAUGGGGAGCAAACAGGAUUAGAUACCCGCGUAGUCCCUGUCUCUUAUAC
rnacentral:rRNA from 1 species